AAAGUCAGCGAAGGAAAUGCUUCUGGCUUUUAACAGAUAAAAAGAGACCGAACACGAUUCCUGUAUUCGGUCCAGGGAAAUGGCUCUUGGGAGAGAGCCGUGCGCUAAAAGUUGGCAUUAAUGCAGGCUUAGUUGCCUUGCCCUUUAAGAAUAGAUGACGACGCCAGGUUUUCCAGUUUGCGUGCAAAAUGGUCAAUAAAAAGCGUGGUGGUCAUCAGCUGAAAUGUUAAAAACCGCCCGUUCUGGUGAAAGAACUGAGGCGGUUUUUUUAU
rnacentral:sRNA from 1 species